rnacentral:tRNA from 1 species
GUGGCUAUAGCUCAGUUGGUAGAGCCCUGGAUUGUGAUUCCAGUUGUCGUGGGUUCGAAUCUCAUUAGCCACC